rnacentral:rRNA from 1 species
UACGGGGGAUGCAAGCGUUAUCCGGAAUCAUUGGGCGUAAAGCGCCUGUAGGUUGUUUAAUAAGUCUGUUGUUAAAGACUAGGGCUUAACCCUAGAAAAGCAAUGGAAACUACUAGACUAGAGUAUGGCAGGGGUAGAGGGAAUUUCUAGUGUAGCGGUGAAAUGCGUAGAUAUUAGAAAGAACACCAGUGGCGAAAGCGCUCUACUGGACCAUUACUGACACUCAGAGGCGAAAGCUAGGGUAGCAAAAGGGAUUAGAUACCCCUGUAGUCCUAGCCGUAAACGAUGGAUACUACAUGUUGUGCAUUCUGUACAGUAUGGUAGCUAACGCGUUAAGUAUCCCGCCUGGGGAGUACGCUCGCAAGGGUG